GACGAACGCUGGCGGCGUGCUUAACACAUGCAAGUCGAACGGAAAGGCCCUGCUUUUGUGGGGUGCUCGAGUGGCGAACGGGUGAGUAACACGUGAGUAACCUGCCCUUGACUUUGGGAUAACUUCAGGAAACUGGGGCUAAUACCGGAUAGGAGCUCCUGCUGCAUGGUGGGGGUUGGAAAGUUUCGGCGGUUGGGGAUGGACUCGCGGCUUAUCAGCUUGUUGGUGGGGUAGUGGCUUACCAAGGCUUUGACGGGUAGCCGGCCUGAGAGGGUGACCGGCCACAUUGGGACUGAGAUACGGCCCAGACUCCUACGGGAGGCAGCAGUGGGGAAUAUUGCACAAUGGGCGGAAGCCUGAUGCAGCAACGCCGCGUGCGGGAUGACGGCCUUCGGGUUGUAAACCGCUUUCGCCUGUGACGAAGCGUGAGUGACGGUAAUGGGUAAAGAAGCACCGGCUAACUACGUGCCAGCAGCCGCGGUGAUACGUAGGGUGCGAGCGUUGUCCGGAUUUAUUGGGCGUAAAGGGCUCGUAGGUGGUUGAUCGCGUCGGAAGUGUAAUCUUGGGGCUUAACCCUGAGCGUGCUUUCGAUACGGGUUGACUUGAGGAAGGUAGGGGAGAAUGGAGUUCCUGGUGGAGCGGUGGAAUGCGCAGAUAUCAGGAGGAACACCAGUGGCGAAGGCGGUUCUCUGGGCCUUUCCUGACGCUGAGGAGCGAAAGCGUGGGGAGCGAACAGGCUUAGAUACCCUGGUAGUCCACGCUGUAAGCGGUGGGUACUAGGUGUGGGGUCCAUUCCACGGGUUCCGUGCCGUAGCUAACGCUUUAAGUACCCCGCCUGGGGAGUACGGCCGCAAGGCUAAAACUCAAAGGAAUUGACGGGGCCCCGCACAAGCGGCGGAGCAUGCGGAUUAAUUCGAUGCAACGCGUAGAACCUUACCUGGGUUUGACAUGGAUCGGGAGUGCUCAGAGAUGGGUGUGCCUCUUUUGGGGUCGGUUCACAGGUGGUGCAUGGCUGUCGUCAGCUCGUGUCGUGAGAUGUUGGGUUAAGUCCCGCAACGAGCGCAACCCUUGUUCACUGUUGCCAGCACGUUAUGGUGGGGACUCAGUGGAGACCGCCGGGGUCAACUCGGAGGAAGGUGGGGAUGACGUCAAGUCAUCAUGCCCCUUAUGUCCAGGGCUUCACGCAUGCUACAAUGGCUGGUACAGAGAGUGGCGAGCCUGUGAGGGUGAGCGAAUCUCGGAAAGCCGGUCUCAGUUCGGAUUGGGGUCUGCAACUCGACCUCAUGAAGUCGGAGUCGCUAGUAAUCGCAGAUCAGCAACGCUGCGGUGAAUACGUUCCCGGGGCU
rnacentral:rRNA from 1 species